rnacentral:rRNA from 1 species
AGUGGGGAAUAUUGGACAAUGGGCGCAAGCCUGAUCCAGCCAUGCCGCGUGGAUGAUGAAGGCCCUAGGGUUGUAAAGUCCUUUUAACGGGGAAGAUAAUGACGGUACCCGUAGAAUAAGCCCCGGCUAACUUCGUGCCAGCAGCCGCGGUAAUACGAAGGGGGCUAGCGUUGCUCGGAAUUACUGGGCGUAAAGCGCACGUAGGCGGCUCUUUAAGUCGGGGGUGAAAUCCUGGAGCUCAACUCCAGAACUGCCUUCGAUACUGGAGAGCUCGAGUCCGGGAGAGGUGAGUGGAACUGCGAGUGUAGAGGUGAAAUUCGUAGAUAUUCGCAAGAACACCAGUGGCGAAGGCGGCUCACUGGCCCGGUACUGACGCUGAGGUGCGAAAGCGUGGGGAGCAAA